rnacentral:rRNA from 1 species
UAGCGGAGGAAAAGAAACCAACAGGGAUUGCCUCAGUAGCGGCGAGUGAAGCGGCAAGAGCUCAGAUUUGAAAUCGUGCUUUGCGGCACGAGUUGUAGAUUGCAGGUUGGAGUCUGUGUGGAAGGCGGUGUCCAAGUCCCUUGGAACAGGGCGCCCAGGAGGGUGAGAGCCCCGUGGGAUGCCGGCGGAAGCAGUGAGGCCCUUCUGACGAGUCGAGUUGUUUGGGAAUGCAGCUCCAAGCGGGUGGUAAAUUCCAUCUAAGGCUAAAUACUGGCGAGAGACCGAUAGCGAACAAGUACUGUGAAGGAAAGAUGAAAAGCACUUUGAAAAGAGAGUGAAACAGCACGUGAAAUUGUUGAAAGGGAAGGGUAUUGCGCCCGACAUGGGGAUUGCGCACCGCUGCCUCUCGUGGGCGGCGCUCUGGGCUUUCCCUGGGCCAGCAUCGGUUCUUGCUGCAGGAGAAGGGGUUCUGGAACGUGGCUCUUCGGAGUGUUAUAGCCAGGGCCAGAUGCUGCGUGCGGGGACCGAGGACUGCGGCCGUGUAGGUCACGAUGCUGCA